rnacentral:lncRNA from 1 species
GAAGCGGCUCGCGCGGGCCCGGCCGGCAGCCGCUCCCCAGACACCGGGGAUCCGGCCCGACUGUUUCCUACCCACGACGGCGAAGACCCGCUACAGCGCGUCCACGAAGCCCCAGUACUGAGCCAGGACGGGGCUCUCCCUCUCGAUGUAGGCGACUACGAACUGCUCCGCCAGCCGGUGAGGCAGCUAAUUAAGAAAGCCACCUUCAGGAUGUCUUUCGAGAAUCUAGCCUCGAAGAAAGUCAUGUAAGAGAACGCCUGCAUCAAAAAGUCGGGAGGCCGGGCGGAGUCGCCGUUAAACGUCCAGGGAAAGCCACCAGGUGGGCCGGCGAACGCUCCCGGGCCAGCAGGUAGGCUUUCUCGCACAGCAGCCCCCGCACCCGGUCCGUAAGCUCGUUGUUCUCCCUGCGCCGGGCAUGGUUCUAGGUCAGGAGGUCCUACAUCAUGACAGCCAACGCGUCCAUCCUGCGCCUCCCCGCAGGCCUUGCUCCCCGCUCGGUCCCUCCCGGCCGCGGCGCUGCCGGAAGUGCGUGUCGGCGCGGGGGCGGAUCCCGGUGGCGGCGAGGGGCGGACUCCGCGGACAAGGCCAGGCCUAGCCUUGAGCUCCGUCGGGCAGGGCCGCCGGGAUUGGUGUCCGGCAGAGCGUGAGCCCAGCGGGCUGGAGUCGGCGAGCGGGAGUGAAAGAAGAAAAGCUAGAGAGCGAAGGCAAAGCCCGAGGAGAGAGGGCCGCGGUCGGCGGAGGAAUCUGACUGCACGGUUGCGUGCGCUCACUCCCGGAGGGCUCCCUCAGGCGGGCGGCUCCGCUAGUGGCUAAAGGCAAAGCAUUCCGGGGCGCGGCGCAUGAAGUUGAGCUUCGUCCCUGCUAGCCGCCGCUUUCUCCCCAAAAAUACAUCCUAGCCUUAAUGUUUAUGCCUCCAUUGCCCCAGUUCUUAUCUGUUUUGCUCAAUGUCUCAUAGCUACAAGAAGGCAAUUUCUGACGAAGCCCUCCGUCCCUUCCAAAUGGAUUAUUUUGGCGGGCUUCCACCCGGACAGUAUGCCACCCGAAUGACUGGACAAGUGCACGGGAGCGGCUGUCAUUUGCGGAGUGCGCCUUGCGAUCUAGGCGCCUCACAGCGCAAAUUAUCCAGUAAUUUCUCUGAAAUCGAUGCUGGUUUGUUUUCCCAAGGCAAAUCAGCAGCUUAUACAGACAUUGGGGCCACAAAGCCGGUGGAACAACGGGAGACGGCUUCCUGAGUGUCAGGUCCUCCAAGAUGAGCUUAAACUUCGGGUGGUGGGCAGGCUCGGUAGGCGGGAAAGGCCCGUGUCCAGAUGAAUGCAGUCCAUGUUUAUAUUGAUGAAAGACACGUAUACCAUUUGGUCCAGCUCAACCAUUCUUAACAAGUGCUGGCUGUGAGCACUGGUGUGUGUGUGCCUGCGUGCAACCAGCAAUGUAAGUGAUGACCAGCUGCAUGAUGCCUUAAUUUGAGUGGACAAAGUCGGUCAAGAACCACUUUCAGGCUUCUGGGUCUCCAAGUCUUUGUCUCCCUGUAUCCAAACGAGGCAUUCCAAGUUUGACAGCAUGGAACAUUGCAUGUCCGAAAUACCAACCGUGAAACUGGGUAAAAAGCUUCAGGAGGUGAUAUUGAUGUGUAUAGUUUAGGAAAUAAAACCCAAUACUUACUUCAAAGAACGUAAUUUGUGGCUUUUUAGAGAGAAGGAUACUUUGACAGUUUUCAUUUGUCGUCUACAUGUAUAUGGUACGUUUCAUUCUGCCUUUUAAUUAAUUUGGUAUUUUACUAUGAAAACUACUUUGUAUUAAUAAAAUAAUGUAUUUCCAAUGUUAUAAGUUGUGUUAUAACAGUUUCAAAAGCCAAAUAAACAAGAUGCAUUUUGAUAUCA